GCCAGCAUGGUGUAGUGGUUUGAGUGCUGGACUGUGACUCUGAAGAUCAGGGUUCGAAUCCCUGUUCAGUCA
rnacentral:tRNA from 1 species